UACAGAGGUCUCAAGCGUUGUUCGGAUUCAUUGGGCGUAAAGGGUGCGUAGGCGGCGCGGUAAGUCGGAUGUGAAAUCUCGGGGCUUAACUCCGAAACUGCAUUCGAUACUGCGGUGCUUGAGGACUGGAGAGGAGACUGGAAUUCAUGGUGUAGCAGUGAAAUGCGUAGAGAUCAUGAGGAAGACCAGUGGCGAAGGCGGGUCUCUGGACAGUUCCUGACACUGAGACACGAAGGCCAGGGGAGCAAACGGG
rnacentral:rRNA from 1 species